rnacentral:rRNA from 1 species
GGGUUGUGAGGUUAAGCGACUAAGCGUACACGGUGGAUGCCCUGGCAGUCAGAGGCGAUGAAGGACGUGCUAAUCUGCGAUAAGCGUCGGUAAGGUGAUAUGAACCGUUAUAACCGGCGAUUUCCGAAUGGGGAAACCCAGUGUGUUUCGACACACUAUCAUUAACUGAAUCCAUAGGUUAAUGAGGCGAACCGGGGGAACUGAAACAUCUAAGUACCCCGAGGAAAAGAAAUCAACCGAGAUUCCCCCAGUAGCGGCGAGCGAACGGGGAGCAGCCCAGAGCCUGAAUCAGUGUGUGUGUUAGUGGAAGCGUCUGGAAAGGCGCGCGAUACAGGGUGACAGCCCCGUACACAAAAAUGCACAUGCUGUGAGCUCGAUGAGUAGGGCGGGACACGUGGUAUCCUGUCUGAAUAUGGGGGGACCAUCCUCCAAGGCUAAAUACUCCUGACUGACCGAUAGUGAACCAGUACCGUGAGGGAAAGGCGAAAAGAACCCCGGCGAGGGGAGUGAAAAAGAACCUGAAACCGUGUACGUACAAGCAGUGGGAGCACGCUUAGGCGUGUGACUGCGUACCUUUUGUAUAAUGGGUCAGCGACUUAUAUUCUGUAGCAAGGUUAACCGAAUAGGGGAGCCGAAGGGAAACCGAGUCUUAACUGGGCGUUAAGUUGCAGGGUAUAGACCCGAAACCCGGUGAUCUAGCCAUGGGCAGGUUGAAGGUUGGGUAACACUAACUGGAGGACCGAACCGACUAAUGUUGAAAAAUUAGCGGAUGACUUGUGGCUGGGGGUGAAAGGCCAAUCAAACCGGGAGAUAGCUGGUUCUCCCCGAAAGCUAUUUAGGUAGCGCCUCGUGAAUUCAUCUCCGGGGGUAGAGCACUGUUUCGGCAAGGGGGUCAUCCCGACUUACCAACCCGAUGCAAACUGCGAAUACCGGAGAAUGUUAUCACGGGAGACACACGGCGGGUGCUAACGUCCGUCGUGAAGAGGGAAACAACCCAGACCGCCAGCUAAGGUCCCAAAGUCAUGGUUAAGUGGGAAACGAUGUGGGAAGGCCCAGACAGCCAGGAUGUUGGCUUAGAAGCAGCCAUCAUUUAAAGAAAGCGUAAUAGCUCACUGGUCGAGUCGGCCUGCGCGGAAGAUGUAACGGGGCUAAACCAUGCACCGAAGCUGCGGCAGCGACGCUGAUGCGUUGUUGGGUAGGGGAGCGUUCUGUAAGCCUGCGAAGGUGUGCUGUGAGGCAUGCUGGAGGUAUCAGAAGUGCGAAUGCUGACAUAAGUAACGAUAAAGCGGGUGAAAAGCCCGCUCGCCGGAAGACCAAGGGUUCCUGUCCAACGUUAAUCGGGGCAGGGUGAGUCGACUAAGGCGAGGCCGAAAGGCGUAGUCGAUGGGAAACAGGUUAAUAUUCCUGUACUUGGUGUUACUGCGAAGGGGGGACGGAGAAGGCUAUGUUGGCCGGGCGACGGUUGUCCCGGUUUAAGCGUGUAGGCUGGUUUUCCAGGCAAAUCCGGAAAAUCAAGGCUGAGGCGUGAUGACGAGGCACUACGGUGCUGAAGCAACAAAUGCCCUGCUUCCAGGAAAAGCCUCUAAGCAUCAGGUAACAUCAAAUCGUACCCCAAACCGACACAGGUGGUCAGGUAGAGAAUACCAAGGCGCUUGAGAGAACUCGGGUGAAGGAACUAGGCAAAAUGGUGCCGUAACUUCGGGAGAAGGCACGCUGAUAUGUAGGUGAAGUCCCUCGCGGAUGGAGCUGAAAUCAGUCGAAGAUACCAGCUGGCUGCAACUGUUUAUUAAAAACACAGCACUGUGCAAACACGAAAGUGGACGUAUACGGUGUGACGCCUGCCCGGUGCCGGAAGGUUAAUUGAUGGGGUUAGCCGCAAGGCGAAGCUCUUGAUCGAAGCCCCGGUAAACGGCGGCCGUAACUAUAACGGUCCUAAGGUAGCGAAAUUCCUUGUCGGGUAAGUUCCGACCUGCACGAAUGGCGUAAUGAUGGCCAGGCUGUCUCCACCCGAGACUCAGUGAAAUUGAACUCGCUGUGAAGAUGCAGUGUACCCGCGGCAAGACGGAAAGACCCCGUGAACCUUUACUAUAGCUUGACACUGAACAUUGAGCCUUGAUGUGUAGGAUAGGUGGGAGGCUUGGAAGUGUGGACGCCAGUCUGCAUGGAGCCGACCUUGAAAUACCACCCUUUAAUGUUUGAUGUUCUAACGUUGACCCGUAAUCCGGGUUGCGGACAGUGUCUGGUGGGUAGUUUGACUGGGGCGGUCUCCUCCUAAAGAGUAACGGAGGAGCACGAAGGUUGGCUAAUCCUGGUCGGACAUCAGGAGGUUAGUGCAAUGGCAUAAGCCAGCUUGACUGCGAGCGUGACGGCGCGAGCAGGUGCGAAAGCAGGUCAUAGUGAUCCGGUGGUUCUGAAUGGAAGGGCCAUCGCUCAACGGAUAAAAGGUACUCCGGGGAUAACAGGCUGAUACCGCCCAAGAGUUCAUAUCGACGGCGGUGUUUGGCACCUCGAUGUCGGCUCAUCACAUCCUGGGGCUGAAGUAGGUCCCAAGGGUAUGGCUGUUCGCCAUUUAAAGUGGUACGCGAGCUGGGUUUAGAACGUCGUGAGACAGUUCGGUCCCUAUCUGCCGUGGGCGCUGGAGAACUGAGGGGGGCUGCUCCUAGUACGAGAGGACCGGAGUGGACGCAUCACUGGUGUUCGGGUUGUCAUGCCAAUGGCACUGCCCGGUAGCUAAAUGCGGAAGAGAUAAGUGCUGAAAGCAUCUAAGCACGAAACUUGCCCCGAGAUGAGUUCUCCCUGACUCCUUGAGAGUCCUGAAGGAACGUUGAAGACGACGACGUUGAUAGGCCGGGUGUGUAAGCGCAGCGAUGCGUUGAGCUAACCGGUACUAAUGAACCGUGAGGCUUAACCUUACAACGCCGAAGGUGUUU